rnacentral:lncRNA from 1 species
AUGUUUCUGCUUUCUUCAAGAAACCCAUGUAUUGUGAAACAUAUAAGCACAUAAUAUUCCCUGUGCCAGGUCCUGACCAUUGGCCUCAUACAAAUGGGCAUGAUAUUUCUCCCCCUGUUUUUAGAGAAAAGAAAGGUAAGAAACAAACUGCCAGGAGGAAAGGCCUGUUUGAGGUGCCAGCUAAAAAAGACACUUCUAGGAUUGGUACAGUCACAUGCAGCAACUGCAAGAUGCAAGGGCAUAGGAUCAACAAUUAUGGUGUCCCAUUGAAACCUAAGUUCCAAAUGAGGCUGAACAAGCAUUAGGUAUGUCCAUUGAUUCCAUGGUUACUUACAUUGCAUUGCAUUGUUACAUUCGUUUCAUUUGUAGGAAAAUACUUUUAACUAAUAUUGUUGUGUAGGAAAAUAGAACAAACUACUCUGAGGCUGGAUCUUCAAUGGCUGCAACUGCACAAAGGCCACCAAGGGUACCUGCUGCCUCUGCACCUGCACCAACUCCUCCUCCAGUAACAAAUGAGUCAACACAGACAGCUUCUAGGUCAAGGAAGAGGGCAGCACCAGCUAC